AAUCAGCAUUUGACUAACUUAAUUAUAUUUUUAACAUGCACUUAAUAUUUUUUGAUACAUUUCAAUCAAAAUAUCUGUUAAUGGAGUAAUUGUACUGAUUAGUUUCAAGAACUACAAUUAUAAAUUAUUCCAACUCAAUAUUCUUUAUGUUUAACAACAAAAACUUAAAUAAUUGAGUAAAUUGCCCUGUGCAAGUGCUCAUGGGAAGUCUGGUGUAACAUCAGAGACAAGAAGGCUGUGAGGAUGUGAGAAUGGACAUGAAGCACCUGGAACAUUCUGGAACACUCCUUACAAAUCCUGCACCAACACCACUAAUGAAGAGAAGUUGAAUAGAGAUAAAACAGGAGGUGCCAGUUUAUGGGAUGGCGGUGUAAUCUCUGCACAUUUGUCGUAUCAUCAAAAGGAAUUUCGAUCAUUACCGAGUGAAGCAUGGUACUGUUGGUCAUGGAUAUUUAGUGUCCUGUCUUCAUUUAGACUGUCAUUGCUUCUUUAAGACCUG